UCAAGGUAAGAUAUAUUGUGGUGUCUCCAUGUCUCUUUGUUGCAUCCUAAUUGUAUCAUUGAUUCAGGGUCGGACAAUCUCAACUCCUGCAACUAAUGGAACAAUUCUUGAAGGGAUUACGCGGAAAAGUGUGAUGGAGAUCGCAAGUGAUCAAGGUUAUCAGGUAACACAGAUAAGAUUGAAUCACUCUAAACACCCAAAAACUAAACUCAGCUAAGUUUCACACCUGAGUUAUGAUCAGGUAGUAGAGAAGGCAGUUCAUGUGGAUGAAGUAAUGGAUGCAGAUGAAGUUUUUUGCACCGGAACUGCUGUAGUAGUUGCUCCCGUGGGCACUAUCACAUAUCAGGAAAAAAGGUAAAUCUCAAUGCCUGAAUCAAGUUUUACUCAAGCCUUAAGCAAAGAAAUGGACUGAUGUAAUCUUUCUGAAACAUUCAGAGUAGAGUAUAAAACCGGGGAUGAAUCUGUCUGCCAGAAACUGCGUUCAGUCCUCGUAGGUAUCCAGACAGGAUUGAUUG
rnacentral:lncRNA from 1 species